UGAAUACGAGAUGCUACGGCGUCGAAGCAGUCUAUGUCAUACUUCCAAGAAAAGCUUGCACUGUCAUAAACAAAUAAUGCCUGUACCAUAACCGACACAGGUGGGUAGGUAGAGUAUACUAAGGGGCGCGAGAUAACUCUCUCUAAGGAACUCGGCAAAAUGACUCCGUAACUUCGGGAGAAGGAGUGCCUUAUUUAUAAGGUUGCAAUAACAAGAUCCAAGCAACUGUUUACCAAAAACACAGGUCUCCGCUAAGUCGUAAGACGAUGUAUGGGGGCUGACGCCUGCCCAGUGCCAGAAGGUUAAAGAAGUUGGUUAGCAUCCGCGAAGCUGAUAACUGAAGCCCUGGUGAACGGCGGCCGUAACAAUAACGGUCCUAAGGUAGCGAAAUUCCUUGUCGGGUAAGUUCCGACCCGCACGAAAGGCGUAAUGAUUUGGAUACUGUCUCGGAGAGGGGCUCGGUGAAAUAGACUUGUCUGUGAAGAUGCGGACUACCUGCACCAGGACAGAAAGACCCUAUGAAGCUUUACUGUAACCUGAAAUUGAAAUUGGACUUUACUUGCGCAGUAUAGGUGGGAGGCGUUGAGAAUAUUCUUGCGGGAUUAUUGGAGCCAUCAGUGAGAUACCACUCUUGUAAUGUUAGAUUUCUAACUUUGUAUCAUUAUCUGGUCAAAGAACAGUUUCAGGCGGGCAGUUUGACUGGGGCGGUCGCCUCCUAAACGGUAACGGAGGCGCACAAAGGUUUCCUCUGAACGGGUAGAAAUCGUAUCUAGAGUGUAAAGGCAUAAGGAAGCUUGACUGUGAGACCUACAAGUCGAGCAGGGACGAAAGUCGGUCUUAGUGAUCUGACGGUGCUGAGUGGAAAGGCCGUCACUCAACGGAUAAAAGUUACUCUAGGAUAACAGGCUGAUCUCCCCCAAGAGUUCACAUCGACGGGGAGGUUUGGCACCUCGAUGUCGGCUCAUCGCAUCCUGGGGCGGUAGUACGUCCCAAGGGUUGGGCUGUUCGCCCAUGAAAGCGGUACGCGAGCUGGGUUCAGAACGUCGUGAGACAGUUCGGUCCAUAUCCGGUGUAGGCGUUAGAAUAUUGAGAGGAGCCUUCUUUAGUACGAGAGGACCGAGAAGGACAUACCUCUGGUGUACCAGUUAUCGUGCCAACGGUAAACGCUGGGUAGCUAUGUGUGGAGUGGAUAACCGCUGAAAGCAUCUAAGUGGGAAGCCCACCUCAAGAUAAGUAUUCUC
rnacentral:rRNA from 1 species